rnacentral:rRNA from 1 species
AUUGAACGCUGGCGGCAGGCCUAACACAUGCAAGUCGAGCGGAUGAAGGGAGCUUGCUCCUGGAUUCAGCGGCGGACGGGGGAGUAAUGCCUAGGAAUCUGCCUGGUAGUGGGGGAUAACGUCCGGAAACGGGCGCUAAUACCGCAUACGUCCUGAGGGAGAAAGUGGGGGAUCUUCGGACCUCACGCUAUCAGAGGAGCCUAGGUCGGAUUAGCUAGUUGGUGGGGUAAAGGCCUACCAAGGCGACGAUCCGUAACUGGUCUGAGUGGAUGAUCAGUCACUCUGGAACUGAGACACGGUCCAGACUCCUACGGGAGGCAGCAGUGGGGAAUAUUGGAAGAUGGGCGAAAGCCUGAUCCAGCCACGCCGGGUGUGUGAAGAAGGUCUUCGGAUUGUAAAGCACUUUACGUUGGGAGGAAGGGCAGUAAGUUAAUACCUGGCUGUUUUGACGUUACCAACAGAAUAAGCACCGGCUAACUUCGU